UGAACAAGCGUCAUUUGAGAGCGUAAGAUUUAAGCUGUGCGCUGAUCGGCAGAUCCUGGAGCUGGAGGCCCCUGCACGAUGGCUAGCUACUUCUACAUAGUUUUUCCCUUGCUGGAGUCAAGCUUGCCACAUGGUCCUGUCCACAAUGGGCAGCUCCUGCACAAGACAAAUCCAUCACCUCGCUUGCUUCAUUUUGCUUCCUCUUUCUGGAAGUUGAACAGGUUGGCUGGUAGGAACGAACAACCUUGCAUUGAGAGCACCUAUAGAAGUCUGUUGCAAAGAAGUGCAGUUCCCGCUCAGCCUCUCUUUUCCAGGAUGGAGAAUGAGUAGAAAAUCUUAACAACUCAAGGGCUCCCAAGACUUGGAAAAAACUCUGAAUCAUUUCUUUCUUGUCAUUGCUUCAUGCUUCACUUCUUUGGGCGAUGCUAUGAAAGCACAUUGUUCACUGUUCUGGUAAUGUUAAAAUGACCCAUAAUAUGAUAUUGGAAAAUCACCAAAUUAUUUCACAGGUGAAUGGAAUGUUAAAGUUGCAAGCCAGGACAUUUAGUUAAAUGUACUUUUUCAUCCUGUUUGAUGCUUUUAGUAUAAUUAAUCUUGUAUAGUUAUAAAGACAAAGUUGCAUUUUUUCCAAAGAUCUUCAUGAUCCUUUCAGUUUGUCAAGAGGAAGUCUUAGAAAACCAUCUUUUAAAAGCGAUGUUGCUUUAAAUUGUUUCACUAGGUCUAAUUUUUCAAUGUCAUCUUUUGUUUCACAUUAAAGAAAAAAACCCUUCUUGCUUUAUUAAAAAAAGAUUUUUUUGCUAGAUGGCUUCAGUUUUUGUUUUUAAUAUUCUUGUGAGCACAAUCAGAUGGCAAAGUACGCUGGCACAUUGCCUUGUAUUUAUUUGACUCCCUCACCAAUGUCAAACUCUAAGAGAAAAAAAUAGAAUUCUGUGACUAAGUUUGUUUUCUGAGAUUCUGCAGAAGAGUGAUCUGAGAGAUAGUACCAUUACCCAGUGAAUGCAGACUGAAAUCCCAAAGAUGAAUUCCAGCACUUGCAAAGAAAAAAAAAAUCAGAACCAUUUGCUUUUACUGUUUCUUCUUAGUGUUAAGUUCUCUAUAGAAACAUUAGUUGUGACGGAGCUUGAAACCACCCCAGAGCCCUCAGAGAAGAACUGAUCUGUUAGAACGUGAAUUUAGAACGACUUCCUUGCAGAGCACCUAUUUAUGCUUUAACCUUCACUUUCUAUCCUUAACAGAUAUUUACUCAUUACAAUCUGCGGUAGCCAUGUAAGUGUUGAUGGCACCAACUUAAUUUGGUUUAAAAUUGCUCCUUUACCAUUUACUGGUGGGGACAUCACUGAAGCUCUUCUCUCUUC